UUGACGGUACCCUACUAGAAAGGAGCCGCUAACUUCGUGCCAGAAGCGUCGGUAAUACGGGGGCUCCAAGCGUUAUCCGGUGUUAUUGGGCGUAAAGAGUCGUGUAGGUGGUUGGGUAAGUUAUCUUUCAAAUAUCUUUGCUUAACAAAGAGGAGGGGGAUAAUACUGCUCGACUAGAAUUUUCUCAAGGGAGAUCGGAACUGAGGGAGGAGUAGUGAAAUGCGUUGAUACCCUCGGGAACACCAGUGGCGUAGGCGGAUCUCUGGGAGAAGAUUGACACUGAGACACGAAAGCUAGGGGAGCGAAGCAAAUUAGAGACCUGCGUAGUCCUAGCCGUAAACGCAUGCUUGCUAGCUGCAUGAAUCUACCUUCGGGUGGUAUCGUGUGGCGAAGGUAACCCGUUAAGCAAGCCGCCUGGAAAGUACGGCCGCAAGGCUGAAAUUCAAAGGAAUUGGCGGGGAGGCACACAACCAGUGGAACAUGUGGUUUAAUUCGAGACUAACCGAAGAACCUCACCAGGGUUUGACAUGUAGCUGCACGUCUUAAGAAAUUAAGACUCUCUUGAAGGUGCUACACAGGUGCUGCAUGGCUGUCGUCAGCUCGUUCCGUGAGGAGUGCCCUUAAGUGGGACAACGAGCGCAACCCCUAUUACAUGUUAGAAAUGUCAUGUAAGACUGCCUUGCCAUUUGGCGGGGAGGAAGGAGGGGCAGACGUCAAGUCCGCAUGGUCCUUAUGCCCUGGGCUACACACAUGUUACAAUGAGUACGGCAAUGAGUCUGUCGCGAGCACGUAAGUGUAAGCUAAUCUCUUAAAUGUACUCUCAGUGGGGAUUGAGGUCUGCAACUCGACCUCAUGAACACGGAAUUGGUAGUAAUCGCGGGUCAGCUAUACCGCGGUGAUACGUUCUUGCCUCUUGCACACACCGCCCGUCAAACCAGCAAAGU
rnacentral:rRNA from 1 species